AAGAAGAAGAAAAAAAGU
rnacentral:sRNA from 1 species